UACGUAGGGUCCAAGCGUUAUCCGGAAUCACUGGGCGUAAAGCGUGCGUAGGUGGAUUGUUAAGUGCGAUGCGAAAUCCUGUGGCUCAACCAUAUGGACUGUAUCGCAUACUGGCAAUCUUGAGGACAUGAGAGGCAAGUGGAAUUACUGGUGUAGCAGUGAAAUGCGUAGAGAUCCGGAAGAACACCGGUGGCGAAGGCGGUCUGCUGGGCAGUAGCUGACACUGAUGCGCGACAGCGUGGGGAGCAAACAGG
rnacentral:rRNA from 1 species